AGAGUUUGAUCAUGGCUCAGAUUGAACGCUGGCGGCAGGCUUAACACAUGCAAGUCGAACGGUAACGGGAAGGGAGCUUGCUUUCUUUGCCGACGAGUGGCGGACGGGUGAGUAAUGCUUGGGAAUCUGGCUUAUGGAGGGGGAUAACUACGGGAAACUGUAGCUAAUACCGCGUAAUAUCUAUGGAUUAAAGGGUGGGACUUUCGGGCCACCUGCCAUAAGAUGAGCCCAAGUGGGAUUAGGUAGUUGGUUAGGUAAAGGCUGACCAAGCCGACGAUCUCUAGCUGGUCUGAGAGGAUGACCAGCCACACUGGAACUGAGACACGGUCCAGACUCCUACGGGAGGCAGCAGUGGGGAAUAUUGCACAAUGGGGGGAACCCUGAUGCAGCCAUGCCGCGUGAAUGAAGAAGGCCUUCGGGUUGUAAAGUUCUUUCGGUAGCGAGGAAGGUAUCAAAUUUAAUAGAUUUGGUAAUUGACGUUAACUACAGAAGAAGCACCGGCUAACUCCGUGCCAGCAGCCGCGGUAAUACGGAGGGUGCGAGCGUUAAUCGGAAUAACUGGGCGUAAAGGGCACGCAGGCGGUUGAUUAAGUGAGAUGUGAAAGCCCCGGGCUUAACCUGGGAAUUGCAUUUCAUACUGGUCAACUAGAGUACUUUAGGGAGGGGUAGAAUUCCACGUGUAGCGGUGAAAUGCGUAGAGAUGUGGAGGAAUACCGAAGGCGAAGGCAGCCCCUUGGGAAUGUACUGACGCUCAUGUGCGAAAGCGUGGGGAGCAAACAGGAUUAGAUACCCUGGUAGUCCACGCUGUAAACGCU
rnacentral:rRNA from 1 species